rnacentral:rRNA from 1 species
AGUGAACGCUGGCGGUAGGCCUAACACAUGCAAGUCGAACGGCAGCACAGUAAGAGCUUGCUCUUACGGGUGGCGAGUGGCGGACGGGUGAGGAAUACAUCGGAAUCUACUUUUUGGUGGGGGAUAACGUAGGGAAACUUACGCUAAUACCGCAUACGACCUACGGGGGAAAGCAGGGGAUCUUCGGACCUUGCGCGAUUGAAUGAGCCGAUGUCGGAUUAGCUAGUUGGCGGGGUAAAGGCCCACCAAGGCGACGAUCCGUAGCUGGUCUGAGAGGAUGAUCAGCCACACUGGAACUGAGACACGGUCCAGACUCCUACGGGAGGCAGCAGUGGGGAAUAUUGGACAAUGGGCGCAAGCCUGAUCCAGCCAUACCGCGUGGGUGAAGAAGGCCUUCGGGUUGUAAAGCCCUUUUGUUGGGAAAGAAAAGCAGCAGGUUAAUACCCCGCGGUUCCGACGGUACCCAAAGAAUAAGCACCGGCUAACUUCGUG